UUGGCGUCGUUCCUUUCUCAGAGUUCUCUCUCCUCAUCACACCACAGCACUUGUCUGGAAACGUGUCCUUGGAGUUUGUGUUGGGCCUGGAACUGCUCUGCCCUGCAGUGUAGACUUGGGGCAUCAGAGGGACUGGAUGUAUAGCAGAGAUAAACAGAAGAGGCUGGAGGAGCACAGUCAGAAGAUGCAGAGCCACCGGCCCAGCAGACGAUAGGCACUAGAGGGAAGGUGAGCCUGGUGAGGAAGGCAGUGCACCGACUUCUGACGUACAGUCCAGUGUGAUGGGGACCCUGCCUGAGAUGUAGACAGCCUGACAGGGCUGAAGCCAACUCACAGUGAGGUG